rnacentral:sRNA from 1 species
GAAAGAGGAAGUUCGACUAAAACCGUCACGUCCUGUGACAACGUCGAACGCCCCCCUCAUCGUGUGGG